rnacentral:rRNA from 1 species
AGAAGUGAGAAUGCCGGUGUGAGUAGCGAAAGACGGGUGAGAAUCCCGUCCACCGAUUGACUAAGGUUUCCAGAGGAAGGCUCGUCCGCUCUGGGUUAGUCGGGUCCUAAGCUGAGGCCGACAGGCGUAGGCGAUGGAUAACAGGUUGAUAUUCCUGUACCACCUAUAAUCGUUUUAAUCGAUGGGGGGACGCAGUAGGAUAGGCGAAGCGUGCGAUUGGAUUGCACGUCUAAGCAGUAAGGCUGAGUAUUAGGCAAAUCCGGUACUCGUUAAGGCUGAGCUGUGAUGGGGAGAAGACAUUGUGUCUUCGAGUCGUUGAUUUCACACUGCCGAGAAAAGCCUCUAGAUAGAAAAUAGGUGCCCGUACCGCAAACCGACACAGGUAGUCAAGAUGAGAAUUCUAAGGUGAGCGAGCGAACUCUCGUUAAGGAACUCGGCAAAAUGACCCCGUAACUUCGGGAGAAGGGGUGCUCUUUAGGGUUAACGCCCAGAAGAGCCGCAGUGAAUAGGCCCAAGCGACUGUUUAUCAAAAACACAGGUCUCUGCUAAACCGUAAGGUGAUGUAUAGGGGCUGACGCCUGCCCGGUGCUGGAAGGUUAAGAGGAGUGGUUAGCUUCUGCGAAGCUACGAAUCGAAGCCCCAGUAAACGGCGGCCGUAACUAUAACGGUCCUAAGGUAGCGAAAUUCCUUGUCGGGUAAGUUCCGACCCGCACGAAAGGCGUAACGAUUUGGGCACUGUCUCAACGAGAGACUCGGUGAAAUCAUAGUACCUGUGAAGAUGCAGGUUACCCGCGACAGGACGGAAAGACCCCGUGGAGCUUUACUGUAGCCUGAUAUUGAAAUUCGGCACAGCUUGUACAGGAUAGGUAGGAGCCUUUGAAACGUGAGCGCUAGCUUACGUGGAGGCGCUGGUGGGAUACUACCCUAGCUGUGUUGGCUUUCUAACCCGCACCACUUAUCGUGGUGGGAGACAGUGUCAGGCGGGCAGUUUGACUGGGGCGGUCGCCUCCUAAAAGGUAACGGAGGCGCUCAAAGGUUCCCUCAGAAUGGUUGGAAAUCAUUCAUAGAGUGUAAAGGCAUAAGGGAGCUUGACUGCGAGACCUACAAGUCGAGCAGGGUCGAAAGACGGACUUAGUGAUCCGGUGGUUCCGCAUGGAAGGGCCAUCGCUCAACGGAUAAAAGCUACCCCGGGGAUAACAGGCUUAUCUCCCCCAAGAGUUCACAUCGACGGGGAGGUUUGGCACCUCGAUGUCGGCUCAUCGCAUCCUGGGGCUGUAGUCGGUCCCAAGGGUUGGGCUGUUCGCCCAUUAAAGCGGUACGCGAGCUGGGUUCAGAACGUCGUGAGACAGUUCGGUCCCUAUCCGUCGUGGGCGUAGGAAAUUUGAGAGGAGCUGUCCUUAGUACGAGAGGACCGGGAUGGACAUACCUCUGGUGUACCAGUUGUCGUGCCAACGGCAUAGCUGGGUAGCUAUGUGUGGACGGGAUAAGUGCUGAAAGCAUCUAAGCAUGAAGCCCCCCUCAAGAUGAGAUUUCCCAACUUCGGUUAUAAGAUCCCUCAAAGAUGAUGAGGUUAAUAGG